GACGAACGCUGGCGGCGUGCUUAACACAUGCAAGUCGAACGGAAAGGCCUGCUUUCCCUUGUGGAUUGCGGGUACUCGAGUGGCGAACGGGUGAGUAACACGUGAGUGAUCUGCCCCCAACUUGGGUAUAAGCCUGGGAAACUGGGUCUAAUUCCCGAUAGGACUGCAGGGUGGUGCCUGUGGUGGAAAACGAUUUUCUAGUGGUUGGGGAUGAGCUCGCGGCCUAUCAGCUCGUUGGUGGGGUAAUGGCCUACCAAGGCGGCGACGGGUAGCCGGCCUGAGAGGGUGGACGGCCACAUUGGGACUGAGAUACGGCCCAGACUCCUACGGGAGGCAGCAGUGGGGAAUAUUGCACAAUGGGCGGAAGCCUGAUGCAGCGACGCCGCGUGGGGGAUGACGGCCUUCGGGUUGUAAACUCCUUUCGACCGCGAGGAAGCCACCUGGUUGGAAGGGUGGUGACGGUAGUGGUAGAAGAAGCACCGGCUAACUACGUG
rnacentral:rRNA from 1 species